rnacentral:lncRNA from 1 species
GAAGACGCCACCAUCUGGAGUCCCCCAAAACCCACAUGCCAGUGUAAACCACCACCACACCACCGGAGACGCUCCGACCACCACCACGCCACCGGAGAUGCUCCGACCACCACCUUUAACCCCUUCACGCCACCCGAGAAGACCACCAUCUGCAACCUAUUCUAUGUAUAGGGUCGCUCCAUUUGCAAGGCAGUGAAUGGCAAAAUAACCGUGUGCGUUUUCUCAUCAGCUUCGUCGCCAUAGGUAAUACUAUGUCUCGUGUUGUUUCUCAUCACCAAAGGUUCUACUUCAGACUUUGAAUUUACAUUCGUGUGCAUGUUCUACGGUUACUCAGUUUGUGGCCUUGUAUUUUGUUUGUUUUUUUUUUUAUUCAAAUAUAGACACAUCAGAAUGUUUAAUUUUGUAGUCUUAAUAGAUAUAAUGGGUUUUGUGGGAUCUAGGGUUCUAAAUCGAAUUGUGUUUGUUGGAAUUCAGAUUUGGUCUCUUUAAUGUUGGUGCCCUAAAUUUACUUUUGGGGUUUGAAACAAAGCAUUGUAGUUAUUUGUCUAUAAAUUACUAAGGACCGUAUUUAUUAUAAUAUGUGUUUUAAUUUUUGGUGAGGCUGAUUGAUGCGGGAAUAUCAAGUGUCGACUCAAUUAUGUAAUGACAUAAAUCCACAUUUAGUGUUCAUUAUGUUUUGUUUUAAUUUAUGUCCAUUGAGUUGAUCAUAAAAACUCUAUAUAAGUUCUCAUGUAAUUUGUAUUGGGGAUAGUUUUUGAGUUUUAUAAAAUAAUUGUUUUACUUUUUCUAAAUUCUUGUCUUUUGGGGGACGAAUUUGGGGGUUUGGGAAAAGAUCUUCGCGGGUAUUCUUAGAAUCAACGUGUUUGAUCUUCAUUUUCGUAUCACACGCUACAUCACUGAUGAAUGGUGUCUAGAGGUGGAAGUACCAUAUUUGACUUUAAACUCUAUGAAAGUUGCUUAACCUUGUGUUAGAGGUGGAAGUAUAAUUUUUUGAACAUGUACUAUAUACCUAUGUUUUUUUUCUUCUGGUUUAAUUUGAUUUACAGUCGGGUUUCUAUUUUCUUUGUGAGAUGGAACAUAUAUAAUCUUAUGACCCAAUUCAUGUUCAAGUUAUUGAGAACAUCAGUUUCAGUUCCAAAUGUUUUCUUUUUAAUUUAAAUGAAUGUGACCACACGGUUUAAGGCAGAGCUACUAUAUGAGGUACGGUGUCACACGACACCUUUGAUUUUUGAAAUUUAUAUAGUAUAUGUGGACAGUGGCUAGUUUGUGGUUUGAUUCUCCUGGUGUCCACUUUGGUGAUAUGUUUCAGGUCCCGGGUGUUCUUCAGUGGGAUAUGGAGCUACGCAAGAGAUUGGGCCAUUCAUUGUGGGCACAUAUGGAAAUGAUAUUCAGUUAAAUCCUUACUCGUGGAAUAGAGAAGCCAUUAUGUUGUUCCUGGAAUCUCCUGUUGGACUUGGCUAUUCCUACUCCAACACAACUAGUGAUUAUGAAAACCUAGGAGACGACUCCACUGGAGGUUAAGGAAUUUUACCUUGCAAGGACCAAUCCCCAAUCUUAGCAGGAUACCAAAUCUUGAUUUCACCACAAUUGAUUUAUUGCCAUUUUCCAGCUCAAAACCUGGGAACCUCUACUAUCAUCUUAGAAAGUAUUUGAUGUAAAUGAGCCCUUUCUACCACCUCAAAGACCUUUACUUCUUAACUUAACUUUAGUUCAAGUUAUCCGACUAAGUUUGGAAAGUAUUUGACUAGUAUCUGAUGAAGAAGCGGAUGAUGACACGGAUAUGAUGUACAAUUAUUACAUUUUACAUGUUAGGUAGUUUUAUGACGUGUUUGUGAAUUGUGACUUAAAACGAACCCGGAUUGUGACGUUUAUGCUUAUUAGUUUAUAUUUAUUUAGUUUUUGUGUGUUUAUCAAAUUGAACAC